rnacentral:misc_RNA from 1 species
GAUGAAGAACGCAGUGAAAUGCGAUAAGUAAUGUGAAUUGCAGAAUUCAGUGAAUCAUCGAAUCUUUGAACGCACCUUGCGCUCCUUGGUAUUCCGAGGAGCAUGCCUGUUUGAGUGUCAUUAAAUUCUCAACUAUUAUCAGCUUUAGCUGAUAAUGGCUUGGAUAUGGGGGUUUAUUUUGCUGGCUUCUUCACAGAUUGUCAGCUCCCCUUAAAUGCAUUAGCCGGUGCCCCGCGUGGACUGUCUAUUGGUGUGAUAAUUAUCUACGCCGUGGACAUCUACAAUCAUAUGGGUUUGCACUGCUUCCAACCGUCUGUUUAUUCAGACAAUACAUGACAAUUUGACCUCAAAUCAGGUAGGACUACCCGCUGAACUUAAGCAUAUCAAUAAGCGGAGGA